ACACACACAUGUGUGUGUUCUGGUCGAAGAAUACACAAAGCACAAAAGGGGCUCUCAUCUUGAACCCUAAUUCACAAAGAAAUCAUCAAAAUUCAAGAAGAAAAACGAAUCAAAAUAAAAUCCAAGCUGAAUUUAGUGAUCACUCAAGUGAGGGGAUCACAAGGCAAGGUGAUUGAAUCUUCAAGCAGUCAAGUUGGAACGGACGCGCGCUUGAAGGAUAAGCUUUGAAAGGUGAACAUUAUGGGUCUCCGGAUGAAGAUCGAGCGAAGAACAAGAACCGAACACACGUUUAAACGAAGCUUCCGCGCUGAUCUCGUUUUGUUUUGUUAAGAAGUGAAUUAUGUAAACACUUAUAACUAUGUUUUUGAAUGUUUAAAACAUGUGUGAAUACUUUUGAUGUAAAAGUUUUUAGUAAGUGUCAUUUUUGUUAUAAAAUGCUAACUAAAUGUUAAAAAUUAGUAAGGAUCUUACAUAUAACA